rnacentral:tRNA from 1 species
GACCGCGUAGCUCAGUUGGAAGAGCUUGGGCUAGUAUUCCAAAGGUCGUAGGGUCGAAUCCCACCGUGGCCA